rnacentral:rRNA from 1 species
AUUGAACGCUGGCGGCAGGCCUAACACAUGCAAGUCGGACGGUAACAGGAAGCAGCUUGCUGCUUUGCUGACGAGUGGCGGACGGGUGAGUAAUGUCUGGGAAACUGCCUGAUGGAGGGGGAUAACUACUGGAAACGGUAGCUAAUACCGCAUAACGUCGCAAGACCAAAGAGGGGGACCUUAGGGCCUCUUGCCAUCAGAUGUGCCCGGAUGGGAUUAGCUGGUUGGUGGGGUAACGGCUCACCAAGGCGACGAUCCCUAGCUGGUCUGAGAGGAUGACCAGCCACACUGGAACUGAGACACGGUCCAGACUCCUACGGGAGGCAGCAGUGGGGAAUAUUGCACAAUGGGCGCAAGCCUGAUGCAGCCAUGCCGCGUGUAUGAAGAAGGCCUUCGGGUUGUAAAGUACUCUCAGCGGGGAGGAAGGGGAGAAGGUUAUUAACCUUUUUCAUUGACGUUACCCGCAGAAGAAGCACCGGCUAACUCCGUGCCAGCAGCCGCCGUAA